rnacentral:rRNA from 1 species
GGGGGAUAUUGCACAAUGGAGGGAACUCUGAUGCAGCAACGCCGCGUGAAGGAAGAAGGCCUUCGGGUUGUAAACUUCUUUGAUCAGGGACGAAGGAAAUGACUGUACCUGAAGAACAAGCCACGGCUAACUACGUGCCAGCAGCCGCGGUAAUACGUAGGUGGCAAGCGUUGUCCGGAAUUACUGGGUGUAAAGGGCGUGUAGGCGGGGAGGUAAGUCAGAUGUGAAAUUCCAGGGCUCAACCCUGGAGCUGCAUCUGAAACUAUCUUUCUUGAGUGCUGGAGAGGAAAGCGGAAUUCCUAGUGUAGCGGUGAAAUGCGUAGAUAUUAGGAGGAACACCAGUGGCGAAGGCGGCUUUCUGGACAGUAACUGACGCUGAGGCGCGAAAGCGUGGGGAGCAAAC